CCUACGGGAGGCAGCAGUGAGGAAUAUUGGUCAAUGGACGAGAGUCUGAACCAGCCAAGUAGCGUGAAGGAUGACUGCCCUAUGGGUUGUAAACUUCUUUUAUAAAGGAAUAAAACGAGGCACGUGUGCCUUUUUGCAUGUACUUUAUGAAUAAGGAUAGGCUAACUCCGUGCCAGCAGCCGCGGUAAUACGGAGGAUCCGAGCGUUAUCCGGAUUUAGUGGUUUUAAAGGGAGCGUAGAUGGGUUGUUAAGUCAGUUGUGAAAGUUUGCGGCUCAACCGUAAAAUUGCAAUUGAUACUGGCAGUCUUGAGUACAGUUGAGGUAGGCGGAAUUCGUGGUGUAGCGGUGAAAUGCUUAGAUAUCACGAAGAACCCCGAUUGCGAAGGCAGCUUACUAAACUGUGACUGACAUUGAUGCGCGAAAGUGUGGGUAUCAAACAGGAUUAGAUACCCGAGUAGUC
rnacentral:rRNA from 1 species